GACGAACCGUGCGAACGUUAUUCGGAAUCACUGGGCUUAAAGCGCGUGUAGGCGGGCCGCCGCGUCGGCUGCUGAAAUCCCCCCGGCUCAACCGGGGAACGGGCACCGAUACGGGCGGCCUCGAGGGGGGUAGGGGGGGACUGGAACUUCCGGUGGAGCGGUGAGAUGCGUUGAGAUCGGAAGGAACGCCCGUGGCGAAAGCGAGUCCCUGGACCCUUUCUGACGCUGAGACGCGAAAGCCAGGGGAGCGAACGGG
rnacentral:rRNA from 1 species